CGCUUACAGUUAAAAACAUAUCUACAUUUAUUUUUAAGUUAGACUUCGAAUAAAAAAAAGUGGCGGCUCCAAAAACAGGAGUUGAAGAGAAUUAAGGUCAUUUGAAGAGCAAAAAAUCAGUACCCAGCGGGAUGACAGUUGGUUGGUAGGUCCGCUUUCAUCUUAACCAAAAGCUAGUUUUAAUGCUCGGUGGUUUGUUUAUUGCAUGGCUGACGAUUUCGGCAACUCAUUUAAAGCAUUAGUAUUAAGUGUCCUCCUACAAAGGUUAACCUUGCCACAUAAUUGGAACUUCGUUUUACCCAGUUAAGCCAUAACCACUAUCUGCUAUGCUCGCCUUCUUUAUACAGGUUUGAACUCAGACCUUGGAUUUGUAAACUUUCGAAUUUGUUAGACGUCACACAAAUUUAUUCGGAAUUCAAAAACUUGUGCGGACAUCA